rnacentral:rRNA from 1 species
GCUUGCUAUGGUAUAACUUAGUGGCAGACGGGUGAGUAAUGUAUAGGAAUCUACCUAGUAGUACGGAAUAAUUGUUGGAAACGGCAACUAAUACCGUAUACGCCCUACGGGGGAAAAAUUUAUUGCUAUUAGAUGAGCCUAUAUUAGAUUAGUUAGUUGGUGAGGUAAAGGCUUACCAAGACAAUGAUCUAUAGCUGAUCUGAGAGGAUGAUCAGCCACACUGGAACUGAGAUACGGUCCAG